ACUUGGCUCCGACGGCUGCAUUUGGUGCUUGUGUUGCUUGGUCAAAACUUUGAAAAUACAAACCUGGAGCCCUACCGAACAUAGAUAUUAUCAAGUAUAAAUUCUAUGACUUUCCGUACUUGGAGGUGUGGCACUAGUCUUGUUCUUCACUGGAAUUGAAGAACUAGGACGGAUGAUGGGCUGAUGAUGUGGAUUCAUAUAUGACAUGGUUGAAACAAAUUGGCUUCGAAACGACAAAAUGAUGAUAUCUGAGUCUGUAGUAUAUUAGUAUGGAUACAUGACGUGUCAUUAUACUACUUCAAAUACUACAUACUGCGUAAUUACAAGAAAUUACCAUUCCACUGAAUCAAUCACCAUCAAACAUGAAGAACUUGUCAUUUGAAUGUGGUUCUGUGGACUUUCGAAUAUGGGACAAGAAUGUACAAGACUUUGGCCAAUGUUUUUUUCACUUAGGAAUUCAACUUCCGUGUUAUGCUCUACUUGCCAUUGUCUCAUCCUAUUACAUUGGAAAGCGUCGACUAGUAUUUUCUCAACCGAGUGACUGGAAUAAUUGUCAAACUUUUAUAAUUUACUUCAGAUCUCUUCUAGUCUCUCUUUUGACAAUCACCUCACUGAUCCAAAUGCUAAUUCAUUUUGUUCUCAAGUCUCAUCUCAUAAGUGUCACUGAGAUUGCGAUAUCUACUAGCAAAACUGGUGCCUGGUUCCUUCACCUCAUAUUCGUGCUGAGGCUGAAACGUGGAAAUUCAUUCAAUACUCGAGGACCGAAGCUAAUCCUCAUGACAUGGUUUUCUUCUGCUGUGGUGUCAGCAUUCUCCUUUAGGACCAGAUAUUAUUUUUUUGUCAACAGACAUUACCACAAUAAUUAUAAUCAGCAACAACUUCACGACUACUUGAAUUACGGUGACGAGGCCGAAACGACACAGCUUUUCAACUAUCCAGCAGAUGAUUAUCUCUGGUUAUGCACUUCAGCCAUCGAAAUUAUUCUUCAAUUUUUUUACUUGCUCACUCUCAUCCCUGGAAGUUCUCACUUGGAGCAACAUCAAUACAGACAUCGGUCCAGAGUAAAUGAUGUAGUAUAUAGUGCUUAUGAGGGACAUGAAAACAAUUCAUAUACCGGAUUUGACGAAGAUGACGAAGAAGAAAUUCCUCUUGGAACGGCUAAGGAACGCUCUGGCAUUAUUUCAAGAUUGUUCUUCAUUUGGGUCACAAAAUUAAUGAAGAAAGGCAGCUGUGGUUUCCUGAAAGCAGCAGAAAAUUUGUUUGACCUCCCAUUAGACUUAUCGACACGUCAUGUGGCAUUGAAUUUCCAACGUUGGACAGUUACCAGGACUCUAUUAAAAAGUUUGCACGUCUCAUUUGGAUUUGAGUUUUACUCCGUUGGGUUGUUAAAACUAAUUUCUGAUGCAAUGGGAUUCUGCGGGCCUAUUUUUCUAAGCUAUCUGGUCAAAUUUAUUGAAGAUGGAAGUGAAAGCCAAGAAAUUUGGGUGGGUUACGGAUACGUUGGGGGCCUAUGUGCGGCUGCAAUUAUUGGUGCUUUAGCGAACACACAUUUCAACAUGAAAAUGGCAGAAAUCAACCUAAAAAUCCGAGCAGCCCUCAUCACAACAAUUUACAGGAAAACCGUCCAUAUUCGUAAAACUACUCUGGAUAAAUUCAGUUCUGGAGAAAUUCUCAACUUUUUUUCGACCGAUACCGAUAGAAUAGUCAAUUUUUGUCCAAGCUUUCACGCUUUUUGGAGUUUGCCUGCACAAGUAGGAGUUACUUUAUACUUGUUGUAUCGGGAAAUUGACCUUUCAUUCCUUGCUGGAUUGAUAUUUGCAAUAGUACUUAUACCUGUGAACCGAGUAAUUGCUAAAAAAAUAGGACAACUCAGUACAGAAAUGAUGAAGUAUAAAGACCAACGUGUAAAAAUGAUGUCUGAAAUUUUAUAUGGUGCUCGAACUCUCAAAUUACAUUCAUGGGAAACUUACUUUUUUGAACGAGUGAACGAUAUUAGAUGUAAGGAAAUGAAAUGCUUGAAGGGACGAAAAUAUUUGGACGCAUUGUGCGUGUAUUUCUGGGCUACAACCCCGAUUAUGAUUUCCGUGCUCAGCUUUGGAACCUAUGUCAUGUUGGGAAACCAACUCACAGCAUCAAAGGUCUUCACAAGCAUUGCACUGUUUAAUAUACUUAUCAACCCGCUCAAUUCGCUGCCCUGGGUAUUAAAUGGCCUGGUAGAAGCUUGGGUGUCUAUCAAGCGAAUCAACAAGUUCCUUCAAGAAGAAGAGACUGAACCAUAUGCUGUAUUUGAUGAAUUACCCACAAUGAUGAAAGAAAGUACUGCAAUCUUGGCCGAACAAGCUUCUUUCAAUUGGGGGGCUGGUGAACUUUCUAUCUCAGAUUUGAACCUUAAAGUGUCUAAGGGUCAGUUUAUUGGUAUAAUUGGAGGCGUCGGAAGCGGUAAAAGUAGCGUCCUUUUAUCUAUUUUGGGAGAGCUUAACAAGUCUUCAGGAAGUAUAAGUGUGCCAAAUCCAAACGAAGGAAUCGGUCUGGUCUUACAAGAAGCUUGGGUUCAACGCGGCACCAUUCGCAGUAAUAUUUGCUUUGCUCCAAAUACCAAUCUAACCCGAUAUAAAUCUGUGGUUGAAAGUUGCUGUCUUAAAGAAGAUUUAUCCUCUUUCAAGUAUCGAGACGAUACAAUUGUUGGUGAAAAUGGGACUUGCCUAUCUGGUGGGCAGAAAAUCAGAUUAACGUUGGCUAGAGCUGUAUAUCAAGACUUCAAUACGUAUUUCCUCGAUGAUGUUUUUGCUGCUGUUGACUAUAAAGUCGCAAAGCAACUAUAUCGGAAAUGUAUUAUGGGGAUUUUAAAAAACAAAACGAGGCUACUAUGCACCCACCACACUCAGUUUCUCAAAGAUGCAGAUUGGAUUAUAGUUUUGAAUGAAGGAAAUAUCAUUGAUGAAGGAACUCCAAGCCAAAUCCUACCAAGAUACGGGGACAACAGUAUUGAAAAUUCGAUUUCUGAUUCUGAAUCAGAUUUAGAUGAACGUAGGGGGGAUUCUUUUACCAAACGACGAUUGGAUAUUACCCGAACACCUUCUGAGAUGGAUGAAACUGUCAUGAUCAAGUCAGGUCAUUCGUUUGAAUUCACUCACAACGGACAAGUGCCCGUUGAAGAUCAAGACGGUUGUGACCUAAAUGAAGAGACUCAACGAGAGGGGACCAUCCAAUUUCACGUUUUCACGUCUUACUACAAAGCCAUUGGCCCUUGUCUGUUCUGGUCGAUUAUAAUUUCCAUAAUUAUUAUGCAAGCUUCAAGAAAUUUUAGCGACAUUUGGUUAGCAUAUUGGGUGUCACAGCAAAAAGAUAACAAUGGCACUGAACUACCAACAACAACCACAACUCCAUUUCCUACAUUUGAAACCCCACUUAAUAGCUAUCUAAAUGCACGUAGUAGUGAAAAUUUCCUUCAAGAUAGCAAUGAAGAUCAGCAACAAUAUUAUUCAAGUUUCAUUAUCGAAUUGAUUCCUUUUAAUACUGACCAUAUGGAUCCCACCAUAAAAUAUUAUUUUGGAAUAUUUAUUUUAAUUGGACUGUUCAAUUCAGUGUUUACAUUGGCACGAGCAUUUCUGUUUGCUAUUGGAGGGAUUACUGGUGCCGUCAAAAUGCAUUCAGCUUUACUUAUAUCCAUCUUGAAGGCUCGAAUUUCUUUUUUUGACCAAACGCCCGUUGGAAGAAUUUUGAACCGUUUUUCUUCCGAUGUUGCGACAGUUGACGAUUCUCUUCCAUUUGUAUCGAAUAUACUUCUCGCCCAAACGUUCGGUUUAAUCGGAACGCUUAUCCUUGUGUGCUAUGCACUGCCGUGGAUAUUGGUGGUUAUAAUCCCUCUUGUCCUGAUUUGUAACAAUAUUGCAGAAUACUAUAGGCAUACUGCGAGACAACUUCGUCGUCUCGCAUCUUUGUCUAUGUCACCACUAUAUUCCCAUUUCUCUGAAACUCUUAAAGGGCUCGUUGUUAUCCGAGCAAUGCGUGCCAUUCGAAGAUUUGAAGAACAAAACGAAAGUCAUUUGGAGUCUAGUCAGAAAUGCCAAUAUUCUACUCAAGCAGCUUCUCAGUGGCUAAGCUUUAGAUUACAAAUGGUCGGAGUUGUUAUUGUGACUAGUGUUGGCCUUCUUGGCAUUUUCCAACAUCAUUAUGGAACUGCUGACCCAGGAAUUAUCGGACUCGCAAUUUCAUAUGCGCUUACAGUUACCAAUGCUCUCAAUGGAUUUGUGACGGUUUUGACAGAAACCGAAAAAGAGAUGGUGGCUGUUGAACGACUGUGUGAGUACACUGAGGAUGUGGAACCUGAAACGCAAGUUGAGUUGAGUGUUGAAGGAGGACAAAGUGUUCCAUAUUUGUGGCCCCCACAAGGGGUCAUCCACUUCAAAAACGUUUGUCUCAAGUAUAGAGAAAAUCUGCCUUACGUUCUACAUAACAUAUCUUUUGAGACUCGACCUGCGGAGAAGAUUGGGGUAGUUGGAAGAACAGGGAGUGGAAAAUCAUCUCUAUUUUCUACUUUAUUUCGGCUUGUAGAUCGUUUUGAGGGAGAAAUCUGGAUUGACCAUGUCAAUAUCAAGUCCAUAUACCUCACUGAACUCAGAAACAAAAUGUGCAUCAUUCCACAGGAUCCAUUAAUUUUUACAGGAUCUCUUAGAGAGAACCUAGACCCGAAAAGAGAAAGAGAAGAUAAUGAGAUUAUUCGUGCUUUAAAAAAGUGCCAACUUGAAUCACUAGUUCAAAAACUGGGCGGAUUAGAUGCAUUUGUGGGAGAUGGUGGGAACUUGUUAUCUAUGGGACAGAAGCAACUAAUAUGUCUUGCUCGGGCAGUGUUGGUAAACGCUAAGAUAUUGGUCAUCGAUGAGGGGACCGCAAAUGUGGACUUUGAUACAGAUCAAAUAAUUCAAGCUACUUUGAGAACAUCAUUCAGUCAUAGCACCGUGAUUACCGUUGCCCACAGAGUAAACACAAUUUUACAUUGCGACAGGGUGUUGGUAUUGUCGCAUGGAGAAAUUAUGGAAUUUGAUGAUCCCAGCGUGCUGAUGGAACAACAUUCAUCUCAUUUUUAUCAACUUGCAAGAGGAAAUGUGUGAUUUCGUGCUUUCAAAAAAUAAUCUAAACGAUUUGUGUGUUUUUGCGUGAUAAAUAGUUAUUUUAUUACCCUGCUCAUGACACGCUUACAUAUGUAAAUAUUUUCAUGUUUAGAUUGUAUGCAUCAUUAAAAUACUAGCUUCCAGGAAAAAUUUGAACAAUCAACGUGCCUAAUAACAAGUUUUAAUAAGAAAAUAGAAAUUCAUAUUUUUUGGAUUUCUUAGAUUAUUAUUACUUCAUGUGAUAUAACACGACGAGCUUUACCUGCAAAUAUAUUAUUACUGUAAAUAAAAUUUGAAAUUGAA